rfam:Aedes albopictus isolate Foshan contig4807, whole genome shotgun sequence.
UACCCAGCAACUCCUAUCCCUACCGCCACGUGGUUCCGGCCGAAAACUAUGAGCAACCUUAGGGAAGAUCGGGUAACCAACCCCGGUGGGAACUUUGGUCGUAGGCUGACAGGGAAGG